AUUGAACGCUGGCGGAAUGCUUUACACAUGCAAGUCGAACGGCAGCACGGACUUCGGUCUGGUGGCGAGUGGCGAACGGGUGAGUAAUGUAUCGGAACGUGCCCAGUCGUGGGGGAUAACGUAGUGAAAAUUACGCUAAUACCGCAUACGAUCUAUGGAUGAAAGCGGGGAUCGCAAGACCCUGCGCGCUUGGAGCGGCCGAUAUCAGAUUAGGUAGUUGGUGGGGUAAAGGCCCACCAAGCCAACGAUCUGUAGCUGGUCUGAGAGGACGACCAGCCACACUGGAACUGAGACGCGGUCCAGACUCCUACGGGAGGCAGCAUUGGGGAAUUUUGGACAAUGGGCGAAAGCCUGAUCCAGCCAUUCCGCGUGCAGGAUGAAGGCCCUCGGGUUGUAAACUGCUUUUGUACAGAACGAAAAGGUUUCUACUAAUACUAGGAGCUCAUGACGGUACUGUAAGAAUAAGCACCGGCUAACUACGUGCCAGCCGCCGCCGUAA
rnacentral:rRNA from 1 species